AAAUUGAAGAGUUUGAUCAUGGCUCAGAUUGAACGCUGGCGGCAGGCCUAACACAUGCAAGUCGAACGGUAACAGGAAGCAGCUUGCUGCUUUGCUGACGAGUGGCGGACGGGUGAGUAA
rnacentral:rRNA from 4 species